UUGAUAAAAUUAAUUAAAUUUAACAAAAAUCGGGUUUAAUAAUGCCUCAUAAAAUGAAACAUAAGAUAGGGGCCAUCAGAAGGGCAAGCUUCCUUGAAUCCUUUCUUAAAACUAUAUUUACACAACUUUUAGGACAGAAAAUUAAAAGAGCUCCCAAAAAAACAGAGACAUGCAUAUUUUCAGAAGAAUUAGCGCCUUAUUUUAAAUAUGGUUUCAAAUAAUCAAUUUUCUUUAAGCAAUUCCAAGCGCCGUCAAUAGCUCUAAGGCAAGGCAUUUUAGGAUACAUGGUUAUAGGAAAAAAAGGGUUAUUUUAACUCCAACAAUAUGCUCUCAAAAUAUUUGCACCAAAUUUUAUAACACCUUGUAUAACGUUAAAAAUAAUAAUAAUAAUAAAAAUAAUAUUAAUAAUAGUAUUAUUAAUAAAUUAGGAAAAAAUACUAAACCAAAAAAAUAGAGAUCUGAUGCCUUUAUGGUGCUAUUUGUCGCUAAACAUGAGCAACAAUGCAACAGGAUUAUCAUAUGUAAUUUAUUGGGAAACCAAAAUAGUCCAUUUAUUUUAUGUGGAUGACCUUAAGGGAUACGCAAAAAACACUAAACAACUCAAAAACCAACUUCUUCUUAUUCUUCUUCCUUUUCUUUUUCUUCCUUUUAUUCUUCUUCUUCUUCUGAUGAAGUUUUCUUAUUGAAGGUUGGCGACGAUAUUUCUGAAUGCGUCCCUAUUUCGUGCCACAAGGAACAGUUCUUCAACAUUCAUUCCUGUCCACUCACUUAUAUUAAGAAGGCCGGAUUUUUUCUUUUUUCCUAUUCCCUUCUUCCCUUCUAUUCUUUUGUGCAUUAUGUCCUGUAGCAGUAUAUAUUUAUCGUUGUAUGUAUGCUGUUUUACGGAUCGUAAUAUUCUUUAGUAUGUUUUUUUCAUGUCCAGUGUGCCUUAGUAUUUCUGUAUUCUAUGUUUUCAGGAUAUUCUUAGCAGGCGCCAAUAUAUGCUUAUCUCAAACGAUUCUAGCUUUUUGACAGUUUGGGCUUUUAAGGUCCAGGUUUCCACCUCAUAUAGUAACACUGACUACACAUAACACUCCAUGAACCUUACUCUAAUUCGUAGGCGCAAACUUCUAUUUGUGAACAUUGAAGAUUAAUGCCUUUCGAGCUUAAUGACUCUUCCUUGAUAUUUUUGGACUCUCUCUACUUAUUUUCCAUUUAGAGUGAUAACAGGGUGAAUACUAGAGUUUUUACUUUUAUCGUCAAUUUCGUUUUUUUUUUAUUUUGAUGGUAAGUCCUACUUAGUCACGUACUCGGUUAACUCUCUUUAGUAGGGUGUAUCGCUCUUCUGCAUGCUCCGCCAUUAUUGCAGUAUCGUCUAUGAAUCUAAGAUUAUUAAUUAGUAUCCCUCCAAUAUUUGCCCAUUUUUUUUCUCUUUCAACACCCUCGAAAACACAAACUGGGACAGAGCGAAGCCUUGUGACGAUGACGCGUUUUAGUAGAGGAGCUACGGGCAGAAAAAUGGGUUUCGCGGGCAUUGUUGGAAGGAAGUUGGCAAGUUGUUUUUUAUAAAUCUACACUACUUACUGAUUAUAAAAAAUUAUCUUGUCACUCCCCUCUUGUGGAGCUACCCCCUUCCGCACCCCUUUGAAGCAAAUUUCUUUAAAAUCUGGUAACUUCAAAACCGUUAUAGAUAGAGCACUCGUUUUGUAACUAAAACGUUUUUUAGCACUUCUGAAAUAAAAAAAUGUCUCUGACAAUUUUUUGUAGAUCCACCCCCACUUCCGCAAUUUACAGACAACUAAAUUUUAUUUUUUUUUGCAAAUUUACUAAAAAUUGAAGAACUCAAUAAAAAGCUAGAGAGCAGUGCAACCUUUCAAAUGAUCUGGCAAUACAUAGAAAUGGUUGAGGCAAUGCUAUUACAAGUAAGGUCUAUCCGAACAGCAGAUUGGACUCUUCAUUUGACAUUCCUUGAAAUCUUUGUAAAAUAUUUUUUUGCAUUGGAUUUGCACAAUUAUUCAGGAAUGAUUGCUUGGUACUUAUGUGAAAUGAGACAGUUAGAGGGUAAAAAAACAUCUUGUCGGACUUGCAUUGUCUUAUUUAUUUAAUGUAACACGACGUUUCGGUUGGUAAGUAUCUCCAACCGUUAUCAAGUGUAAACUGACAGCAAACUACUAUUCUAAAGGCUUAUAUACUAGAUGUGUGCAGCGAUGUGGAAAGGAAAGUCAUCCGUGAAAUGAGUUGGGGGGAGGACACGCCUCUCUCUAGAUUCUACACUGUCCUGAGAGUAGAGGCUUCCAGAUGUUGGGUAUAUCGACGCUUGGCUGGCUGAAGAUCCCCUGAUUCUGUGAAAGAAAGAAGAAAUGGAUAUCCAAAGAAGCUAAUAAGUAGGACCAUCCAAAGGACGCGUCCAAAUUAAAUCAGAGACAAGGCCACCACGACAACCAGACUUCUACCCAUAACUUACAUUAGGGGUACAUCGGAACAAAUCCCACGCAUUGCCAGCAAGUACAAUAUUAGAACUGCCUUUAGAUCUAGCACCACUAUCAGAAGCGUGGUAUCAAAGACCAAACCAGAUGGCCUGUUGGAUACCAAAAAUUGCGUCUACCAAAAAUUGCGUCAACAUGUAUUCAGGAGCAGUAAUGAAGAAGGAGAUUAAAAAAGAUGUAUGCGACUUAAGCAAAAUUGGCUCUGAAAAAUUUGAAGAAUUUAAGCAAAACUGGAUAUACACCAGUGAAGAAAAUCUUUGGGCCCCAGUAAAAAAACUUAGGCUACACUUAUGUAGAGAAGCAAAUAAAAAGGUAGUGCCUAAAAAAGACACAUGUGUUAAGGAAUUUAAAGCGGAUAGAUCACUAUUUUCCCGCCUGCUUGUGGUAUGCAGAUCGCGACCGGGUAUAAACCUAAAAGAUGUAAUUGGAAAAUACGAACUUUCACCUGUUCCCAGAGCACUUUUUGGCCUUGGUGGAUCAAUGCAUAUGCACAGUGAUAAAGCCAAUUUAUUGCAUGCCUUGGAAGAUUUAGUCCCAGAAGAAAAUCGUAAUUUUGUAGAAUUUGAUUCAAACAAAUACAAUGCUAUAAUAAUUGACGGCAUGGCGGAGUUGCAUUCUAGUGUUAAGCCAAAACAUAUUCAAACAUUUUCCGACUAUGCUAAUUAUUUUAUUUAAAGUCUACACACAAAAUAUCAGAAAUAUAAUGAAGUACACAUUGUUUUCGACAGAUACGAUGAUUUUUCUUUAAAACAAAUUACUCGAGAUCGAAGCUAUGAAAGACAUCCUAUCAAACAAUGAAACAAAAAAUCAGUUAACAGAAUAUUUGGCCAAUAAAAUUGUGCAGUCUAGUGUAUUUACCGGCAAAAAGAUCUUGAUAUCCUAUGGUACUGGUUGCAUUUCUAAGGAAACGGGAUUUGUUGAUUCUCUUGGAAGCAAUCAAGAAGAAGCAGACACAAAAAUUAUUUUACAUGCAGCAUAUGUUUCAAAUAAUGUAUUAAAUCAGAACUCUACAUGUAUCCCAGUGUGUUCGCCAGAUACUGACAGUGGGGAAGCGUAUGAGUAGACAAGGUAGACACUGUCUACCCAUAAUUAUCCAGUUAUUUGUCAUUCAUUUAUUACGUAAAUAUUUCAUGUAAUUGUUGAAUUAAAUUUAAAAAAAAUUAACACAAAACGUAGUCGCUCUCCUUACUAUUAUUAUAUAGUAUCUAAACGGCUAUAAUAUCUAUCUAUCUAUAAUAUCUAAGGCACGCCUGACGCACCAAUUAAAAAAAAAUGCAGGGCUGACACCCAAUUAAUGUAUACGAGCCCCAGGAAGACACAUUGAUAUUUGUCUUCCGAAAUUUGGAGCAUCUAAUCGAAUCAUAAUACGCAUCAGGCAGGUGACAGAGGCCCGGCCGUAUCAGUAUUCAGCCUAUUUUACGUAUGCAAAAUUUACUCGCGGAAAAGACAUUCGAGCUUUUGUCUAUCGAAGUCGACCAGCUAUUUUAUUAUGCUGUUGAGGGUUAUUGUUUAUGGACACGCUUGAUCUGGUCGGCCGCAAUACAUCUUCAGUUUUGUUUUUUGAUCAAUCUGCAUUUGGCAUUUGAUGCGAACGCGUGCUAUAGUAAUUUAAUAAGUAUUUUUAUUUUUGGGUGUAUAGAAAAGGUUUUUUUAGUGGAUAUUUUAGUGGUUAUUUAUGAACGACUGUUCGAUAUUGGCAAUUGUAUUUUAGUUGUGUUUUUUUUGUAAGUAGUAUUUAUUUUUAUCUAUAUCUUUUUAUGCUUGUAGUAAUUAUUUUUUUCUUUUUUAUAUCACUACAUACUUUUUCUCUUUGAGUUAAUAUUUCAUGCGCUUUCAUUCUAUAUUUCAAUUAAGUGAAUAAUAUUGAAUACAAAUUUUUUUCUAAUUAUCGAUUUUUAUUGUUUGUCUACCCGAAAAAAAAAUUCACGCUUCGCCACUGGAUACUGAUGUUUUUAUUCUACUGGUAAAAUAUUACCAAAGUUUACGAUGCCAAAUAUAUUUUCAAACUGGUACAGGGACACAUAAAAGAAUAAUAGAUGUUUCAGAGAUAGUAAAGAGAACAUUGAUGCUUCAAAGAGAAGCCCUGCCCGCAUUUCAUGCUUUAUCUGGAUGCGACACUACGGGGGGAUUUGUUAGAAAAGGAAAACUUUCGUUUUUCAAAACAUUCUUGGUUGCUGAAAACAUAUUAAGAGCCCUUGCAGAUCUUGGAAAUAUUGAAGUUGAUUUGCAGAAAAUAUUAUCCGAAAUUGAGCAAUUUUUAUGCUUAGUGUACUCAUCAAAAUCCAACUUAAAUACGCUCAAAGAAUUAAGAUGGUGGUUGUUCUCCAAACAUCAAAUGGAAAGUGAACAACUUCCUCCAACACAAUCAAGUUUCAUCCCCGCUCUAAAAAGAGCAAGAUUACAGACCUAUAUUUGGAUUAAUUCUGAUAAAAAUAUGGUCAACCAACUUGACCCAGAUGAUUAUGGCUGGACAAAAUCAGGAAAUAUGUAUGUUCCAACAUUGACAACGUGC
rnacentral:lncRNA from 1 species